CCUACGGGUGGCAGCAGUGAGGAAUAUUGGUCAAUGGACGAGAGUCUGAACCAGCCAAGCAGCGUGAAGGAUGACUGCCCUAUGGGUUGUAAACUUCUUUUGUCAAGGAAUAAAACGAGGCGCGAGUGCCUUUUUGCAUGUACUUUAUGAAUAAGAAUCGGCUAACUCCGUGCCAGCAGCCGCGGUAAUACGGAGGAUCCGAGCGUUAUCCGGAUUUAUUGGGUGUAAAGGGAGCGUAGAUGGGUUGUUAAGUCAGAUGUGAAAGUUUGCGGCUCAACCGUAGAAUUGCAUUUGAUCCGGGCAGUGUUGAGUACAGUGGAGGGAGGUGGAAUGCUAGGUGUAGCGGUGAAACGCGUAGAUAGAAGGAAGAAUCCCGAUGGCGAAGGCAGCCUACUAAACUGAGACUGACAUUGAGGCUCGAAAGCGUGGGGAUCAAACAGGAUUAGAUACCCGUGUAGUC
rnacentral:rRNA from 1 species